CGAGCUCGUACUAGUUACAGGACCCCCAUCGCUAGCGACACCAGACUUUUUUUUACCCCGCCAUCCGCCAUUGUCUUGUCGUGCGUCGGGUGUGUUUCAGGGGACGAAAAUGCUUUUAUACAUGGAAAUGUACUCAUUUAUUCAAGUUUACCUAUCUGUGAAGUCUCCUCUUAUGUUGAUUAUGGUCAAGAAGAGCUUGGAAGAUCCACGACGCGACAGUCUAGCGAGCACCUGAACACAGUUGGAUUUCAAGCAAGAAGUAUGCUACUAUGCUCUGGCACAUUCAAGACUCAGUUUGUGACAGUGUUCAGCGUCAAGAUGCCUUCAUAACAGGAGCAAGUGUACCCCAAGACCCUUUUUUGCAUAAUAAAAUGUAUAAAGGCACA
rnacentral:lncRNA from 1 species